CAACCCUCACGCCCCGCGUGGUCUUGGGCCGAGCCCCCCGGGCUGGCCUCAAAAGCAGUGGCGGUGCCUCUGGGUCCUGAGCGUAGUCACACUUCCGCUACAGGGCUCCAGCGCGCGCUGGCCGAACCUCAACUCUUUCA
rnacentral:misc_RNA from 1 species